rnacentral:rRNA from 1 species
AGAGUUUGAUCCUGGCUCAGAUUGAACGCUGGCGGCAUGCCUUACACAUGCAAGUCGAACGGCAGCACGGGAGCAAUCCUGGCGGCGAGUGGCGAACGGGUGAGUAAUAUAUCGGAACGUGCCCAGUCGUGGGGGAUAACACAGCGAAAGCUGUGCUAAUACCGCAUACGAUCUCUGGAUGAAAGCGGGGGACUCGCAAGAGCCUCGCGCGAUUGGAGCGGCCGAUAUCAGAUUAGCUAGUUGGUGGGGUAAAAGCCCACCAAGGCGACGAUCUGUAGCUGGUCUGAGAGGACGACCAGCCACACUGGAACUGAGACACGGUCCAGACUCCUACGGGAGGCAGCAGUGGGGAAUUUUGGACAAUGGGCGAAAGCCUGAUCCAGCAAUGCCGCGUGCAGGAUGAAGGCCUUAGGGUUGUAAACUGCUUUUGUACGGAACGAAACGGCCCCUUUUAAUACGGGGGGCUAAUGACGGUACCGUAAGAAUAAGCACCGGCUAGCUACGUGCCAGCAGCCGCGGUAAUACGUAGGGUGCGAGCGUUAAUCGGAAUUACUGGGCGUAAAGCGUGCGCAGGCGGUUAUAUAAGACAGAUGCGAAAUCCCCGGGCUCAACCUGGGACCUGCAUUUGUGACUGUAUAGCUAGAG